ensembl:lincRNA
AUGCCCAGCUCCGCGCCGCGCGGACCCUCGGAGCCCGCGCUCAGACGCCCCAGCUCCACCGAGAGGCCGCUUGCUCCGGGUCCUUCUUCUUCCCCAAGUGCGGGCAGAGCCCCCGGAGCCAUGGUCAGCCCUUCCGGCAGCUCCGAAGCCACUGGCAAGCCCCGAGGCAGGGAUGGCCCGCCCAGGAGGGAGGAAGACGACGUCCCUUCUGAAGAGAAGAGGCUGCGGCUGUUGCUGGAGGGGGAAGCGCACAGCCCGAGGACUGCGAGGACGGGGAGGACGCGCCCCGGCUGGGCAGGGAGGAGACCGGCACCCAGACAGGUGGCGACAGCAGAGAAGUGGAAUUCUCCACGAGUUUUCGGCAGCCUCGGUUUUCCCACCACCUCUAAAUCAUGCAAGACACAGGGUAAGAGCAAAGACAAGGUGGCUGUGGCCGAUGUCCACCCUCUCGGGGCGUCCCUUCUCUUCUCUGCUCCUUGGGCAGGGAGACCAUCGGGGUGCAACCUGGCUGGGGCGGGGAGGAGGUGCAGGGCCUGGCCAGAGCGGGACUGGCCACAGGCGGGGACAGCGACUGCCUGGGCCGGGGCAGGUGAGCGCAGCGCAGGCCAAGGCCAGGUGUGUCCGCGGUGCGCGCUAGAGGCCAGCAGUGGGCGCCAGAGAGCCAGGAGCGGCCCGCGGAGGAGCCCGCGCCGGCCCCGAUGCCCAGCUCCGCGCCGCGCGGACCCACCGAGCCCGCGCUCAGACGCCCCAGCUCCGCCGACAGGCCGCUCGCGCCGGGUCCUUCCUCUUCCCCAGGUGCAGGCAGAGCCCCCGGAGCCAUGGCCAGCCCUUCCGGCAGCUCCGAAGUCACUGGCAAGCCCCGAGGCAGGGAUGGCCGGCCCAGGAGGGAGGAGGACGACGUCCCUUCCGAAGAGAAGAGGCUGCGGCUGUUGCUGGAGGGGGGAAGCGCACAGCCCGAGGACUGCGAGGACGGGGAGGACGCGCCCCGGCCGGGCAGGGAGGAGACCGGCACCCAGACAGGUGGCGACGGCAGAGGAGUAAGUGAGGCGGGCGCGGGGGUCCGGGCGUGCCGGGGACGCGGGGUAGGGGCGGCGGGAGGCUUCGUGGCUGGCCCUGGGUUGAAGUUGGUAAUUGAGCGGCAACUCCGGCGGGUGCGGAAUGACAGCUCGUGACGGCCUCCGAGACGCCAGCUGCCCCUUCUCGGUUGUGUGGCUUCGACUUCCUGAUUCUCCCACGACGUCCCUGGCCGGGAGACCCGCUGGACUCUGCGGCUGGCCAAAAGUGGAGGGGGAGCCCCGCGUCCUGGGGGCCCCUAGCAGGGGAAGGGGCGGGUGUUGCGCUGGGCAUCUUGUCUGGGGCAUCUGUCUGAGACUCUGUCGGUGCCUUUCACCUGGCGAGGGGCCUGUGGUGGUUGUAGGGGGGAAGUCCCUGGCGCCAGGCUUUGCCAAGCCCUGCUCUGCUGGGCUGAGGGCUGGCGGCGCUCAUCCAGCUCCUCACCUGUCCCGCAUCUUCCUGUUUUUCUUCCCUUUCUUGUUUGGCAGGGAGAGUUGAGAGGAGGCAGAUGGCUUCCAUCCCAGAAAUCGCUCUCCUCUUUCCAUCCCUACAGAGAGGGACAGGGAGGCAGAGUUCCUUGCAUCCCCCGGGGCACUGUCCCUGUGAGCUCCCAGUGUCCUGCACACGUGGGCCCCUGAGUCACCGGGCCUGUGUGUGUGGGAUGGGGCUCCGUGGCCAGCCUGGCCUCCUGGGGUUCCCUUUCUGCUUUCCUACCCCAACUCUUCCUAUGUGGCUUUGCUGGCCUUCCACUGGGGAUGCACGUGGGUUUGGAGGGCAGAUGAGGGCCCACUGGAGAGCUGUACCCCUCAGUGAGGGCCGCCACCUUGAUGGUUUUUGAUGGAUAAUGGGGUUGACCUCUUUGUUCCUUCCACAUGUUUUUAUGUUUGACCAGUUGCUCAGCUGAGCUUGUCUUAAUAAUUGGAUUCGUGGUUAAUGAGCCCCACAUGGGCGAGAGGGCAGCCUUCAUUCUGAACCCAUUUAGACAGCACUGGCAGCCCUCCUCGCCAUGGGCUGCAUCAGAGCCCCCCCUGCCCAGUCUUGGGGUUGCUCCUGGAUGCUGUCUGGGAGGCUUGCUCAUGGUGACAUCCUCAUCUCCCUGUGCACGUUACCACAUUCAGAGCUUGGGUCACCUGGACACUGAACUCAGGUGUAUUUUCUCUGAGAUCCCGGGAGAAGGAGGACAGUUAUUUGGAAGGUUUUCCAGGGCCGAUCAUGGAAAGGAUGAGAAGGGAGAGGUCCUGGUCGGGGACACAAUUACGGUGGCAGUGUAACGCCGGGAAACUUUAUUGCAUGAAGACCAUCUCACUCCCUCUACCUCCCUAUUUUACGUGGACUCUGCCAAAGACCAGGAUACCAGAGUGCAGUGGAGUGACCAAGUGUAGUGGGACCUUGGGAACGUGAGUCUGGAGCCAGGUGGCUGGGGUUUGCAUCCUGGUUCUGCCCCUCCUUAGCUGGCUGACAUGGCACAAGCCACUCACCCUCUCUGAGCCUUACUGUCUUCAGUGGCAAAUGGAUGUGUCAACAGGCCCCAUUGCCUGGGGAUGUUACUGCUGAGAUUAAGGGAAGUUCGUCCACAGAAGCACUUAGCGUUGUGCCUGGCACAUAGUGUAUGGUGGAUAAAUGGGACUUAGGACGAAAACUCAUGCCUUGGUGUGUUUUUGCAGUGAUGUUUUGUUCUGGGGUGCAUCACAAGAGACAAGGUUCUUGGCUGGGCAUGGUGGCUCAAGCCAAUAAUCCCAGCACUUUGAGAGGCCGAAGGGGGAGGAUUGCUUGAGCCCAGGAGUUUAAGACCAGCUGGGCAACAUGGUGAAGCCUCAUAUCUACCAAAAAAAAAAAAAAAAAAAAAAAAGCCAGGUAUGGUGGUGUGUGCCUGUAUUCCCAAGUACUUGGGAGGCUGAGGUGGGAGGAUUGCUAGCGCCUGGAAGGUCGGGCUGCAGUGAGCUGUGAUCAUGCCACUGCACUGCAGCGUAGGUCACAAAGUGAGACCAUUUCAAGGAAAAAAGAGAGAGAGAGACAGACAGACCCACAAGAGUCUUAAGCCAGAAUCUUCAUGUUAAAAUGCUUUCUGGGGGCUAAAAGGAUGAUAUGUUGAUAAUGAAAUAUUUAAAAGGCAGAAACCCCACUGAACUGUUUGGUCCACAAAGGGAAAUGGGAAUCACAUGACCUGAAGGAUGAUGGAGGAACUGAACAGAAACCAUCCUUGUUUCCUGAAUCUGAACAUGGCACCCUCUUUUCACGGUGUCUGUAUCUGCUCAGUCUGGCGGCCCCUCGAAAAGAGGGAAUCUUGAUUUUCAAACUUAAAAUUUGGCCCAAAGCCCACUGCUGCCCACAAUGUCCGCCAGACACAUUCCUCUUCCCUUUUAGUCUCUAUGGGAAUACUCUCUUUGAAGAACCCAUGAAGCAGUGUCAGGCUGGUGUGAGGAUCAGCAGUGAUUUCUUUCAUGAGGAGAGCCCGUUUCUUCACUCACAGGCCAUGUCUGAGUGUAUCAAGAAGAACAGAGUGCGCUUUUAUGAGAUUUUGUCUGCGUAGACCAUUAGCUUGGUAGAAAUGUCAAAACCAUCCUCGUUCUUUAAUAGGAGAUUAUUUUGGACUUUUCUCUGCAAGAAGCAGCAUGGGCAUUCAGAUGCUUUUAAGGAUAAAAUGUUCUUUCUCAUCACCAGGCCUGGUGCUCUGGAUGGCUGAGGUUUUAAUGUGACUGGAUGUCCCUUGGAGUGUCUCCCAGGCUGUGCUCUUGUGGUUGGGUGGCAAGGGGUUGCUUUAUUCGGUGGUGGCUAGAGGAUGUUUUAGCAGAUAAAUCGGGACCCCAGGAGCCCCUGAGUGCCAAGUCCUGCUGCAGGGCAUGUGUUUAUGGUGGGGAUGUGGGGGGGUGGAGGGUGGGGGGCAUUGAUUUCCUGCCAAUAUCAGAAGUUUCACAGGCUUCUUGUGUAUCCACAAACCCCCAUCCCAUUGAGAAGGCCUAGAAAACCUGGCCCUCCCCAAGCCUUUAUUGACCGCUUGUGAAUGAUCCCAGGAUGUGUCUGAC